CCCAGACUCCUACGGGAGGCAGCAGUGAGGAAUAUUGGUCAAUGGGCGGAAGCCUGAACCAGCCAAGUCGCGUGAGGGAAGAAGGCCCUGCGGGUCGCAGACCUCUUUGGACGGGGAGCAAGGCCGCCGACGUGUCGGCGGAAGGAGAGUACCCGUAGAACAAGCAUCGGCUAACUCCGUGCCAGCAGCCGCGGUAAUACGUAGGGAGCGAGCGUUGUCCGGAUUUACUGGGUGUAAAGGGUGCGUAGGCGGCCCUGCAAGUCAGAAGUGAAAUCCAUGGGCUUAACCCGUGAACUGCUUUUGAAACUGCAGGACUUGAGUGGAGUAGAGGUAGGCGGAAUUCCCGGUGUAGCGGUGAAAUGCGUAGAGAUCGGGAGGAACACCAGUGGCGAAGGCGGCCUACUGGGCUUUAACUGACGCUGAAGCACGAAAGCGUGGGUAGCAAACAGGAUUAGAUCCCCCCGUA
rnacentral:rRNA from 1 species